UGCUGCUAUUUCUCCUGAUUCCUAAAAUGAUUAUGCUGUGAUUUACAUUUUGUUUUCAUCUUUUCUCCACUUGACUAGAUGCAAAACGGAAGCAAUUUAAAACACAGUCAAUGAAAAACAGACCAGCAGGAUGCCUCCUUUUUGCUGUGGGUUGCCAAGGAUCCUGAUGUACAUUCAUUCUUAAACCACUGGACCAAGCUUGCGCAUAACUCUCUUGCAAAUGGCCAGUUUCAUUUGGGCAGAGAACAUGGAUAUUGGCAGUUCCUAUUUCUGCUGCAGUUUGUUGAAAGCUUACUAUGUGCCAAACAUAUUUCUCAACACCCAGAUUAUUAAAUAAAAUUUCAUAACAACUCUGUCAGAACGUACUGCCAAAUACACGGGCAUCCUGACACCACAGCCCACUUCUCCCUUUCGUGGAAGGCUGCCGGUGGGAGAGGAGUCAUGGAGGAAGAGUGUACCUGCGCUCUUCUUCAACUGGGCGCUUCAUCAGGCAUUGGAGUCAUCUUAACAACAUCUGAGAUUCUAUUUUGUCCCAAGACAGAAGAAAAACUAAGGAAGUCAUAAUUCUUUGCUCUACAGAGACUCUUAGUCAUGGUGGAAAUUGGAUUCAACUGCCUGAAAUUCUUUAACAGGAUAAUUUCUAUGAGGCCGUAAGGUAAAAAAGAGUGGGAAACAUUGUCCCAGAUGAUUUUGAUAUGAAGCCAAAUUUGAGGACCGUGGCUUUGAAUGUUGGUGUUGUUUGGAUUCUCCUGCCUGGACCAGCUUCUUUUCUCCUCAACAAACGUAUCUGGAAAUCACUCCACAGCUCCAAUCCCAUUGCCACAGGUUAGCUCGAUCUUCUGGCUGAGAUCUAUAUUCACACACCUAAUUGCCUUUUGCCAUAAACUUUUCAGUGUUCCAAAAGGCCCUCAAAAUCAAUAUGCAUCAUCAAGAGAUAGAAGACAAAACUCUAUGUGUCCUAAAUCUGAGCCAUAUACAAUCUUCCCAUAGUUUAUUAAAUCUCUUUAAUUGUAAUUCUUUGGAUGAAAUUUAUCUUCCCCAUUAGGUUGUAUGGUUAUUCAUGGAAAAACUUUAUCUUCUGUGAUUUUAAUAUUUCUCAGUACCAUAGUAUUAUAUUUUACAUAAAAGGUACUCAGUAAACAGCAACAUGAAGCUGGAUCCAUUUCUCAGCUAGCAGCUGGAAUCAGAUAACAGUAGGUUUAAAGUCAUCUCUGCCACAUAGUAGCUAUGUGACUAUUGGCAUGUUUUUCUAGAAUUCUGAUCACUGAAUUUCUCACUUGAAAAUUGGGACAAUUCAUUACAUAGGGUUGGUGAGGAAAAGCUUAUACAGAGCCUAUCAAGGUGCCAGGCACCCAGUAGGUGCUUACAAAUUAUUCAUGUCUUGUUCUGACCUUCACCUAUCACAGGUGAGAGAACGAAGACCCAAACACACGAACGAAUGUUCUCAAUGCUAUUUGGGGAUGGCUCUUACCUCAUGGAGUCCAUAUGAUAAUUAAAUGGGAUAACAUAUGUAAAUUAUCUAAAGUAAGCCUGGCAUAUAGUGAGUAUCCCCUUAAAUAUAAACUCCAUCAAGCAAAGAUUUUUGUCUCUUCUGCUCAUUACUUUGACCUAAGCACAUAGCAUGUGUCUACUGUGGAAACACAAUACUUCAAGUGUUUGCUGAUAAAAUAAAUAUUAGUCCUCUUUUCUCAUUUCCAAUAUUUCACUCACUGUGCAAUUGACAUCAAGAGAUUUCUGCUCCCAUGUAUCUUGCUUGUCUUGAGUGUAUACUGAGUUCAAUUUUUGUCAAACACAAGAGAUAGAUAGGCUUGGUGAUAGCUCAUGUUCAUGGCCUGACAAAAAUCAUUUAGUAGCAAAAUAUAAAAAUCUAACAGGGCAAAAAAUAAAGAUACAGUG